rnacentral:rRNA from 1 species
GAUGGACGCUGGCGGCGUGCCUAAUACAUGCAAGUCGAGCGAACGGACGAGAAGCUUGCUUCUCUGAUGUUAGCGGCGGACGGGUGAGUAACACGUGGAUAACCUACCUAUAAGACUGGGAUAACUUCGGGAAACCGGAGCUAAUACCGGAUAAUAUUUUGAACCGCAUGGUUCAAAAGUGAAAGACGGUCUUGCUGUCACUUAUAGAUGGAUCCGCGCUGCAUUAGCUAGUUGGUAAGGUAACGGCUUACCAAGGCAACGAUGCAUAGCCGACCUGAGAGGGUGAUCGGCCACACUGGAACUGAGACACGGUCCAGACUCCUACGUGAGGCAGCAGUAGGGAAUCUUCCGCAAUGGGCGAAAGCCUGACGGAGCAACGCCGCGUGAGUGAUGAAGGUCUUCGGAUCGUAAAACUCUGUUAUUAGGGAAGAACAUAUGUGUAAGUAACUGUGCACAUCUUGACGGUACCUAAUCAGAAAGCCACGGCUAACUACGUG